rnacentral:rRNA from 1 species
AAUGAACGUUGGCGGCGUGGAUUAGGCAUGCAAGUCGUACGAGAAUCGUAGCAAUACGAGGAAAGUGGCGGAAGGGAGAGGAUUACGUGGGAAUCUACCCUCAGAACUGGGAUAGCGGCGGGAAACUGCCGGUAAUACCAGAUAAUGUCUGUGGACCAAAGGUGUGAUUCCGUCUGGGGAUGAGCCCACGUCCUAUUAGCUAGUUGGCAGGGUAAUGGCCUACCAAGGCAAUGAUUGGUAGCGGGUGUGAGAGCAUGACCCGCCUCACUGGGACUGGGAACUGCCCAGGCACCUACGGGUGGCGGCAGUCGAGAAUCUUCGGCAAUGAGCGCAAGCUUGACCGAGCGACGCCGCGUGCGGGAUGAAGGCCUUCGGGUUGUAAACCGCUGUCGUAGGGGAGCAAGAGAUGAGGGUACUCCCUCUGAUUUGAGCGAUCCUAGGAGGAAGGACGGGCUAAGUUCGUGCCAGCCGCCGCAGUAACAC